UUUUAUAAGGCACGGCUGUCUCCUAACCUCUGCCUGCCACCUGAAGAUGGGUCAUCACCCCAGUGGUUGAUGGGUCAAUGGGUCAUCACCCCGGUGGUUGAUGGGUCAAUGGGUCAUCACCCCGGUGGUUGAUGAGUUAUAGGUCAAACCCGAGAGCAACACCAACCACCAGCAGUCAGCAGUAUUUCCUGCAGGACACAGCCUUUUCCUGAUGAUCUCCUGUCCAGAGUGGUGCUGGCCCUGCUCUGCUCACCCCAUGAGCCUACCCAGGGUCAGUGUGUGGCUCUUUGUACUGCUGCAGUUUGCUUGGGAAGAUGUUGCUCUGCAUCAAUUGGGUGCAACAAAAGCAGCUCGGGUCCUUCCUGAAGCCACGAAUCCCUUGGCUCUCUCUCCUCAUUUGGCAGGAUGGAAAAGGCAGAUAAGCCUUUACUUGCAAUAUUUCUGCAUCAGACACCAGCAUAAGACCCAGAAAGCAGCAUCAGACCAGACCACAGAGGUGUGACUCAGUGAUUCUCCACCUGCUAUGGGCAGAGAAUCUACCUACAAGUGCUCCCGUUGUCCACGGGUGGUUUCUGUUCAAUGAAACACCAGGGCUGCGCUAUUGCGAUCUGCUCUCACACCUCUGCUGGUGCUGAAGUUGGAAGCCCGGACGGAACCCUGGGCUCCAUCUGCCUGCAGACCCCCAGGCUCUGUUCCCAGAUGUGUGGUGGAAUCCCACAUAGCGAGGCCUGGCCGUGGCUUCCACGCUUGGCUGCACAGCACAGUGAUCUCCAGCAACGGUGUGAAUUUCUCUAACACGUUUCCGUGUCAGGGCUGGCUUGUUUUCAUGCUGCCAGCUGGGGAACGAGCCACGAGACACGUGUUGUUGGGACACAGGUGCUGCCAGAUCGAAUCACAGCACUGCUUCAUUACCAGGCUGGGAUGCUGGACCACAGCAGAAAGCCCCCAGGGAAGAUCUCCUGCUCUCCAUCUGACAGAUGCUUCCAUCUAAUGCAGGCUUUCUUCCCUCCUGCUACGUUUGCAAGCGCAUCUGCCGUCAUUCUGGAUGCUCCCUAUAAGUAUACGAAUUGUACCUCCUUUUAACACCUCUAAAUAAGGCCUGGUUUCCAAAUGCCCACUCUGUUCUGCUGCUCCUCUCCGCUUCCACCCCUCCCUGCUGCAGAGCCUGGAAACGACGGGAUGGAAGGAGCUCCGCAGGCUCACGAGUGUCACAGUCUAAGGAAAAACACUGCCUCUGCAGUCAGCUUGGUUUGGCUUUGGAUGAGACAAACGGGUCUGGUGGGUUUGGACCCCCAGAGGUCCCAUCCAACAUCCUCCAUUCAGUGAUAUGGCGAUCCCGGUACAGCAUCUCCCGUUCCUAGAGCAUCCCACCCAUGGGUCCCAGGGCUUACAGUCUGCUCCAGCACUCACAGCCAUGGACAUCCCUGUUCCCCAGCAGCUCUGGGACUGGAUCUUCUCCGUCAGCUCACCCCAAGCAGUCACCAAACCCACACAGGACCAUUCAUAUCCCUUGUGAUGGAAAACCUGCUCCUCUAACAGCAGCAGACAGGCGGGAGAAAGCCCUUGGGCUUUAAUUGCUGCAGAAAGGCAGCCAGAAGUACUGCAGAGAUAAAUAGACCGAAGCGAUGCUUGGUUAUCUGAAAGCUUCAGCUUUGCUCUUUUCCAGAAGUAUAAGCAUCAUCCUUAGCUAUAAAGUAGCUCUCAGCUCCUUAAAUGCUGUGGAUCCUUCUGUUCUAUGACAGAUUUUGGUGAACCAGGUUCAGUGCAUCUUUAUCAACUUCUGGUGAUGCUUUUCUCCUUCAGCCUGCGAAGGCUUGAAGCAGCAGUGAACAUCCAUGGGCUGAAAACUACAACCUGGAGAUGGGCUAUUGACUGGGAAGGGGCUGCUGUCCACUAUGGACAUCUCAUUGAAAACCCUCAUGGAGAUGGAGGGGGAGGUGGAAGUGGAGAUGGAGGGGGAGAUGGAGAUGGAGGUGGAGAUGGAGGGGGAGAUGGAGGUGGAGGUGGAGAUGGAGAUGGAGAUGGAGAUGGAGGUGGAGGUGGAGGUGGAGAUGGAGAUGGAGGUGGAGGUGGAGGUGGAGAUGGAGGGGGAGGUGGAGAUGGAGGGGGAGGUGGAGAUGGAAGUGAAGAUGGAGAUGGAGGUGGAGACUGAGUUUUUCUUCCACACUUAACUCACUGGUGAACUGGAUUGAACUAGAUCAAAAGAGAGGGAUGCCAUGGUUUUCUAGGAGGAGAUCUGCCUCACACCUCCAUGAUGUUACCUCCACUGGGUCAAGCAGCUCCCAGUAUGGACCUUUGUGAGCCCAGUUUGUGGUGCUGUCUCCACCCCUGGGGAGAAUGUUACCCCAGCCACGAGUGGUCCUAGCCUGGACAUGGUGGGAUGGGCUGGGUUAUCUCUCAGGGCCCUCACCCUGCUUUGAGCAAACCAGAAGACCUCAGGAAACGUGAAAACUUCCUCCGUCCUUCAUAUGUGCAUCUCUGCUGAGCAUUGUGCAGAACCCCUCAGCCCCCCCCCCAGUCCUCCCUCGCAGGUGAGCUUUGGGCAUGCAGACCCCAUCCUGGACCCAGCGGUGCUCCGGUGCCAUUGGUCUCAUUGGUCCCCAGAUCAAUGGGG
ensembl:lncRNA